rnacentral:rRNA from 1 species
UACAGAGGUCCCAAGCGUUGUUCGGAUUCACUGGGCGUAAAGGGUGCGUAGGCGGCUGUUCAAGUCGAACGUGAAAACUCGGAGCUCAACUCCGAGCCUGCGUUCGAUACUGGAUGGCUAGAGUCUGGUAGGGGGAUCUGGAAUUCCUGGUGUAGCGGUGGAAUGCGCAGAUAUCAGGAGGAACACCGGUGGCGAAGGCGGGAUCCUGGGCCAGUACUGACGCUGAGGAGCGAAAGCGCGGGGAGCAAACAGG